UGUGCACCACGGACGAUGUAAAACAAACAACCUAUGGCCUCUCAUACAGUAUAAUAUCUAUCGCCAUGGUAUACAGGCCUGGCAUCUGGUACGAGUCUCUCGCAGUCUCAAAACCAACCUUACAACUCUGAGCGGUGGAUCACUUGGCUUGUGGAUGCUAUGAAGACCAUAGCUAAGUGUGAGAAUGGCAGCGAGCCGUCGCUAUAUGCGCUGUCCUCUUCUUAUCACAUGUCGAAUGCACAUUGCGCCCCACCCAGUGGUCGGCUAACAACCUGCAGACAAAAGCCUGGCAGUUGGAACAAAGGCAAGUGUGUGGCCCUCGAGCAACGGCGGGGGAGCCAGGAGCACACGGGCGUGCGGACCAGCUACUCGUGAGUAGUCAGGCUGACCCUAUGGUGGGGCACUCCUAGUCGAGUGUGGUGGAUCGGACUCACUCUCUUGUUGCGCGCUUGCGCGUGAUGGGGGUUUGAGUUUCUUUGUUGCUGGUGGCAUUUGGGUCGACAUCAGUCGUGCCCGUAAACAACUGCCUUGGCUCGUGCCUCUGUGCGUACUACCACCAAACCUCUGACCCUAUAUUUCUGGCGGUGGGGAGUGCGUACAUUGAAGGCCAAAGCUGGCGAUCACUCUUGCGGCCAGGGCACUACCUUUGCCAUUGUCAUUGCGAUGAUGGCGGUAGGGCGCACAGGUCCAAAAGGAUAUGAAAUACGAGAGUCGGGUCUCUGAUACUCAGCGCCCGCUUGUCCACGGUUAGUGGUAUGGUGAUAUGGUGUUCUCUGCGUAUACGCUUUUCUGGUAAAGGUUCGUCUCUCGUAGUAUUCGAGAAUGACAUACAGACGACCUCACCUCUUUUGUUCACACACGCUGGCAGAUGAAGAAACGCCUGACGAGUUCAGGAAGGAUUUUCUAAAAGUGUGUGAAAAAAGUAACAGAUUGGCCUGCAGUACCGCUCCACUCCAUGUUCGACCCGUGUGCAACCGUUGGUAUGAGAGAGGCUUGGCUGCUCGUGUUUGUCUGGAAGCCACCACCUCGACUUAGGAGAGGUUACCCGCUGAACUUAAGCAUAUCAGUAAGCGGAGGAAAAGAAACCAAUCAGGGAUUCCCUUAGUAGGGGCGACCGAACAGGGAUGAGCCCAGCGCAGAACCUCCCGGGCCACCCGGCCUGCGGCGGAAUGUUGCGUUAAGGGAAAGGUCGUAGUCAAACCCCACAGCCACGCGAGCUCUAAGUAAGUCACGAAUUGGCUAUCCCAACUAACGGCGGGAAAAUCUCCACGGAGGGUGUAAGACCCGUGUGGGCGCGUGUAAAUGCUGUGUGGGCUCGGCCUCUUUUCCCUGAGAGUCGCGUUGCUUGAGCAUGCAGCGCUAAGCAGGUCGUAAACUCGAUCUAAGGCUAAAUAUGUCCACAAGACCGAUAGCGAACAAGUACCGUGAGGGAAAGUGAAAAGCACUCUGAAGAGAG
rnacentral:rRNA from 1 species